CGCCGUCAACGUAAAUUUUGCCGAGUGCAUGGCUCAACACUCGGCAAAUUUAUUUUUAUUUUUUUCCUGUAAAUUUUGCCGAGUGCAUGGCUGAACACUCGGCAAAUUUAUUUUUAUUUUUUCCUUAAUACUUUGCCGAGUGCUUCCUUUGCACUCGGCAAAGUUUUGGAAGAGAAUUCCAGUAUGUAUGCUGUUAUAAACUUUGCCGAGUGUCGUGGUCAUAGCACUCGGCAAAAUAAUUUUGAAUAUUAAAUCAUGACAAAACUUUGCCGAGUGUCUUGGUCAUGGUACUCGGCAAAGUCUCCGAAAUUUGCUUUUUUGAAUUCCAUUACAACAGAAUAUAUCACCAGCAUAUAUUAUAUAUCACAAGCACUCACAUAUUUUAUCAAUCCAUCGAAAAUCCAUUAAUAUCGAACAUCACAAGUUCGAUAUUACAAGUCCCGCACAAAUGCAUCAAAGUUCAACAUGACAAGUACUGUGCCGAAGACAUCAAAUGCAUCAAAGUUAAACAUGACAAGUCUCGCACAAAUGCAUCAAAGUUCAACAUGACAAGUCUAUUAUUAAAAGGUCGACAUAGCUACUGUGGCAAAGACUCAAAGGGUGGCCUCCCGGACGUCGGUGAAGGAUUGACGGGAUCAACCGCCGGUGAUGUUUGAUGAGCGUUUGAACACACCGAUGGAGGCUGCACAAAAUAGAGGAGAUGGCAUGUGUUAAACUUAAUUAAAAAUUGAAAAUUUCGGCAGUACCUCCCCUGCACGGGGAGGUUUUUAACCUGCAAGAAAACAACGGCUC
rnacentral:lncRNA from 1 species